rnacentral:rRNA from 1 species
UACGUAGGGGGCAAGCGUUAUCCGGAUUUAUUGGGCGUAAAGGGAACGCAGGCGGUCUUUUAAGUCUGAUGUGAAAGCCUUCGGCUUAACCGGAGUAGUGCAUUGGAAACUGGGAGACUUGAGUGCAGAAGAGGAGAGUGGAACUCCAUGUGUAGCGGUGAAAUGCGUAGAUAUAUGGAAGAACACCAGUGGCGAAAGCGGCUCUCUGGUCUGUAACUGACGCUGAGGGUCGAAAGCGUGGGUAGCAAACAGG